ACGCUGGCGGCAGGCCUAACACAUGCAAGUCGAACGGUAACAGGAAGCAGCUUGCUGCUUUGCUGACGAGUGGCGGACGGGUGAGUAAUGUCUGGGAAACUGCCUGAUGGAGGGGGAUAACUACUGGAAACGGUGGCUAAUACCGCAUAACGUCGCAAGACCAAAGAGGGGGACCUUCGGGCCUCUUGCCAUCAGAUGUGCCCAGAUGGGAUUAGCUAGUUGGUGAGGUAACGGCUCACCAAGGCGACGAUCCCUAGCUGGUCUGAGAGGAUGACCAGCCACACUGGAACUGAGACACGGUCCAGACUCCUACGGGAGGCAGCAGUGGGGAAUAUUGCACAAUGGGCGCAAGCCUGAUGCAGCCAUGCCGCGUGUAUGAAGAAGGCCUUCGGGUUGUAAAGUACUUUCAGCGGGGAGGAAGGUGUUGCGGUUAAUAACCGCAGCAAUUGACGUUACCCGCAGAAGAAGCACCGGCUAACUCCGUGCCAGCAGCCGCGGUAAUACGGAGGGUGCAAGCGUUAAUCGGAAUUACUGGGCGUAAAGCGCACGCAGGCGGUCUGUCAAGUCGGAUGUGAAAUCCCCGGGCUCAACCUGGGAACUGCAUUCGAAACUGGCAGGCUUGAGUCUUGUAGAGGGGGGUAGAAUUCCAGGUGUAGCGGUGAAAUGCGUAGAGAUCUGGAGGAAUACCGGUGGCGAAGGCGGCCCCCUGGACAAAGACUGACGCUCAGGUGCGAAAGCGUGGGGAGCAAACAGGAUUAGAUACCCUGGUAGUCCACGCCGUAAACGAUGUCUACUUGGAGGUUGUGCCCUUGAGGCGUGGCUUCCGGAGCUAACGCGUUAAGUAGACCGCCUGGGGAGUACGGCCGCAAGGUUAAAACUCAAAUGAAUUGACGGGGGCCCGCACAAGCGGUGGAGCAUGUGGUUUAAUUCGAUGCAACGCGAAGAACCUUACCUGGUCUUGACAUCCACAGAAGAAUCCAGAGAUGGAUUUGUGCCUUCGGGAACUGUGAGACAGGUGCUGCAUGGCUGUCGUCAGCUCGUGUUGUGAAAUGUUGGGUUAAGUCCCGCAACGAGCGCAACCCUUAUCCUUUGUUGCCAGCGGUCCGGCCGGGAACUCAAAGGAGACUGCCAGUGAUAAACUGGAGGAAGGUGGGGAUGACGUCAAGUCAUCAUGGCCCUUACGACCAGGGCUACACACGUGCUACAAUGGCGCAUACAAAGAGAAGCGACCUCGCGAGAGCAAGCGGACCUCAUAAAGUGCGUCGUAGUCCGGAUUGGAGUCUGCAACUCGACUCCAUGAAGUCGGAAUCGCUAGUAAUCGUGGAUCAGAAUGCCACGGUGAAUACGUUCCCGGGCCUUGUACACACCGCCCGUCACACCAUGGGAGUGGGUUGCAAAAGAAGUAGGUAGCUUAACCUUCGGGAGGGCGCUUACCACUUUGUGAUUCAUG
rnacentral:rRNA from 2 species